AGCGAACGCUGGCGGCAGGCCUAACACAUGCAAGUCGAACGAAGUCUUCGGACUUAGUGGCGGACGGGUGAGUAACACGUGGGAACGUGCCCCUUGGUACGGAAUAACUCAGGGAAACUUGAGCUAAUACCGUAUGUGCCCUUCGGGGGAAAGAUUUAUCGCCAUUGGAGCGGCCCGCGUCUGAUUGGCUAGUUGGUGAGGUAAAGGCUCACCAAGGCGACGAUCAGUAGCUGGUCUGAGAGGAUGAUCAGCCACAUUGGGACUGAGACACGGCCCAAACUCCUACGGGAGGCAGCAGUGGGGAAUCUUGCGCAAUGGGCGAAAGCCUGACGCAGCCAUGCCGCGUGAAUGAUGAAGGUCUUAGGAUUGUAAAAUUCUUUCACCGGGGACGAUAAUGACGGUACCCGGACAAGAAGCCCCGGCUAACUUCGUGCCAGCCGCCGCAGUAACAC
rnacentral:rRNA from 1 species